AAUAUUAAAUUAUUAUAAUGAAUAUUAACAAUCUAAACGAUAAAUUGUAAUUAUUUUUUUCGGAUAUAACUAUUACAUAAUACUAAAUACAAUAAUUAAUUAGCGGUGGAAAAUUAAAAAGAUAAACUAUUUAAAUAAAGAUAAAUAUUAUUGUAUUCACAACAUGAAUUGCCACUAUUGUAAGUCUUGUAGGGUGUAGAUAAAUCAUUGUUAAUGAAAAAUGAUUCUGAGGAAAGUUCUGUUAAACAUGUUUUGAUAAAUUUAAAUUGUAACUAGUUAUAAAAUAAAUUACUGAUGUACGUGGUAAUUUUGUGUAAAGGACUGUGAUUUUUAAAAUUUUUUUAGCUAAUUUUAAUCGUUGAAAAACAUAAGUGAAAAAACGUGAUAAGGACAAAAAUAUAGGUUUUUAGGAGAAAUGGUUUGCGCAAUUGUUUUGCGCAAUCAAGUUGCGCGUUUGUGCGCAAACGAGACGCAAAAAAGGGCGAAUGUACGCAAAUGGGUAACGCCUCUCUAAUCUACUGCUUUGGUCAAGUGGAAGUCAUUAAAGUGGGGGAACAACGACUUGUACGCAUAUUUUCUUACGCAUCUCAUUGUAUUACAAUUGAAAUAAUUUGUAUAAAAUACAG